AUUGAACGCUGGCGGCAUGCCUUACACAUGCAAGUCGAACGGUAGCGGGCCUUCGGGUGCCGACGAGUGGCGAACGGGUGAGUAAUGUAUCGGAACGUACCUUUCAGUGGGGGAUAACGUAGCGAAAGUUGCGCUAAUACCGCAUAUUCUGUGAGCAGGAAAGCAGGGGAUCGCAAGACCUUUCGCUGAUUGAGCGGCCGAUAUCAGAUUAGCUAGUUGGUGAGGUAAAGGCUCACCAAGGCGACGAUCUGUAGCGGGUCUGAGAGGAUGAUCAGCCACACUGGAACUGAGACACGGUCCAGACUCCUACGGGAGGCAGCAGUGGGGAAUUUUGGACAAUGGGGGCAACCCUGAUCCAGCCAUGCCGCGUGAGUGAAGAAGGCCUUCGGGUUGUAAAGCUCUUUCGGCCGGGAAGAAAUCGCACGGGCUAAUACCCUGUGUGGAUGACGGUACCGGAAUAAGAAGCACCGGCUAACUACGUGCCAGCAGCCGCGGUAACAC
rnacentral:rRNA from 1 species